GUUUUAGUUUUAGAAAAAAUUUCUCCCCACCUCAAACGUUCCAAUAUACCGGCUAUUAUCCAGCUUGCAACAACGCUUAGGUUUUUGGCUACGGGUGCAUUUCAAGGAGUUAUAGGUAGAUCAAUUGCCAAUGUAGAAACAUUAUUAAAAGCAGCUGGAAUGCAUGAUCUUGGUCUAUCUUUUUUAUUUAAAAUCGAAGUGGUCUGCUUUGAAGUUGAGGGUUUUACUUGGUGGACCUGAACUAUUCAGCAAAGCUGUCAAUUCCGUCCAUAGAGAAUCAACAACAACCUUAUCACCUUUUACAUAGCCCCUGGCAAUAUCGUGAUGUUUAUCCAUAAAAUUGAUAAAAAUUUUGUCCUGUUUAACGUUUCGGUGUUUGCCCCUAAAGUAUAAAAUAAAUUAAAUAAACAGUUUUUGACGAAAAUUUAGAAA